AAUGAUGAAUUUUGCCUUUUAAGUCAAUUAAUAAAGUUGAUGAUUAACAUAUGUCAGAUAGUGGAAUUUUAUCUCCCUGCAUAGCUCAAUAGAUGACUAUCGUUCCAUUUUGAGCCGUUCCCAGUAUUUAUCUUCUAUUAAGGGAGCUUUGACAUCUAAUUUUUGUCGCCAAGUUCUAAGGUCAUCACAUAAAACACAAGUUACACAGUUUAUUUCUGUUUUGACAGUGCAAUCUCUUUCUUAUUAACAAUGUAAUGCCAUGUAAGAUAAGAGAUUCCUUUUUGAUGGGCUAAUCAAGUGUACCUUUGAUGUGGAUAUGGCUUAGUGUUACUUUCGGGUACCUUUGAUCUAGAUAUGGCUUAGUGUUACUUUCGGGUACCUUUGAUGUGGAUAUGGCUUAGUGUUGCUUUCGGGAGUUAAAAUGUUUAGCAUGUUUUAUUCUUAAUGGUCACACAUGUCUAGAUUGAAGUUAAAUAUACGAGCAAAUGAAGGUGAUCAUUGCAUCAAAGUGAAAUGAUAGUUGUGGAAAUAAACUAAUUAGAUGAAUCCCCUUGAUAAAGGAAAAAGAUGCUUGAAAGUCUUAAGAUCUGAAUCACACUGUACUUGUUAAACAAUUUGUUGGUUUUUCUGAACUAUUUUUUUAAUCUCAUUGUAU
rnacentral:lncRNA from 1 species